AUACGUAGGUGACAAGCGUUAUCCGGAUUUACUGGGCGUAAAGGGCGUGUAGGCGGUCUUGCAAGUCAGAAGUGAAAUUCCUGAGCUCAACUCGGGCGCUGCUUCUGAAACUGCAGGACUUGAGUGCUGGAGGGGAUAGCGGAAUUCCUAGUGGAGCGGUAAAAUGCGCAGAUAUUAGGAAGAACACCGGUGGCGAAUGCGGCUAUCGGGAAGGGAACUGACGCUGAGGCGCGAAAGCGGGGGGAGCAAACAGGAUUAGAUACCCGGGUAGUCCACGCCGUAAACGAUGAAUACUAGGUGUAGGGGGUAUCGACUCCCUCUGUGCCGCAGUUAACACAAUAAGUAUUCCGCCUGGGGAGUACGGCCGCAAGGUUGAAACUCAAAUGAAUUGACGGGG
rnacentral:rRNA from 1 species